GAGAAAGCUUGGAUCAAAAUGGUCAGGGUUCAACUACAGUCACUUAACCACAUUCAGGUUUAAAUGCAAUUGAUAAAAACCAGCAGAUAUUUGCACCGUACACUCCAAAAGAUGAAUCUUUUACUUGUAUAGGAAACCCACAACCACCCAAGGAGGGGACAUCUAGCAAACCUGAUGUUCUAGAUACAAUAAAAUCAGAUGUAAUCUCUGAUAAUCCAUCGACUCAGAACAUAGUGAGCAGCGAACAAUUCUCAAACCUUACAGUUUCUUUAGCUCGGCUUCUUGAAAGUGGGAAACAACUUCUUGAACUAUAUGCUGCUCUGACUGGUUCAAACCCAAUGGGAUUCAUGUAAUCAUUCCUUUCCAAUUCUGUUGGUCCUGCUGAUUUUCCAGCUCCAGUAUCCAGUGAUCCAAAGUCGGCAGUCGGAUCUCAAAAGCAGUAUGAUCCUGUAAGUGGUAGCAUGGAGCUAACUAAAUCUGAAAUUAGUAAUCUACCAGGUGAGGUCAUACCAAAUUCUCCAACACAAUAAAUGAAGGCUCAGAUAUUCUUCCCACUAUUUC
rnacentral:lncRNA from 1 species